rnacentral:rRNA from 1 species
AGUGAACGCUGGCGGUAGGCCUAACACAUGCAAGUCGAACGGCAGCACAGUAAGAGCUUGCUCUUACGGGUGGCGAGUGACGGACGGGUGAGGAAUACAUCGGAAUCUACUUUUUCGUGGGGGAUAACGUAGGGAAACUUACGCUAAUACCGCAUACGACCUACGGGUGAAAGCAGGGGAUCUUCGGACCUUACGCGAUUGAAUGAGCCGAUGUCGGAUUAGCUAGUUGGCGGGGUAAAGGCCCACCAAGGCGACGAUCCGUAGCUGGUCUGAGAGGAUGAUCAGCCACACUGGAACUGAGACACGGUCCAGACUCCUACGGGAGGCAGCAGUGGGGAAUAUUGGACAAUGGGCGCAAGCCUGAUCCAGCCAUACCGCGUGGGUGAAGAAGGCCUUCGGGUUGUAAAGCCCUUUUGUUGGGAAAGAAAAGCAGCAGGUUAAUACCCCGCUGUUCUGACGGUACCCAAAGAAUAAGCACCGGCUAACUUCGUG